rnacentral:tRNA from 1 species
GGGCCUAUGGUGUAACGGCAGCACGGCGCUCUGUGGCAGCGUCGGCACGGGUUCAACUCCCGUUAGGCCCC